rnacentral:tRNA from 1 species
GGGGUUGUGGCUCAGAGGUAGAGUACUCGCCUAGUAUGUGUGAGGCAUUGGGUUCGUUCCUCAGUACCA